rnacentral:rRNA from 1 species
AUUGUAGCAAUACAAGGCGGACGGCUCAGUAACACGUAGCCAACCUACCCUAUGGACGGGGAUAACCUCGGGAAACUGAGGAUAAACCCCGAUAGAUCAUUAUACCUGGAACGGUUUAUGGUCCAAAUGAUUCGUCGCCGUAGGAUGGGACUGCGGCCUAUCAGCUUGUUGGUGAGGUAAUGGCCCACCAAGGCUAUUACAGGUACGGGCUCUGAGAGGAGAAGCCCGGAGAUGGGUACUGAGACACGGACCCAGGCCCUAUGGGGCGCAGCAGGCGAGAAAACUUUGCAAUGUGCGCAAGCACGACAAGGUUAAUCCGAGUGUUUCCUGCUAAAGGAAACUUUUGCUAGUCCUAAAAACACUAGCGAAUAAGGGGUGGGCAAGUUUCUGGUGUCAGCCGCCGCGGUAAAACCAGCACCUCAAGUGGUCAGGAGGAUUAUUGGGCCUAAAGCAUCCGUAGCCUGCUUUGUAAGUUUCCGGUUAAAUCCAUUAGCUCAACUGAUGGGCCGCCGGAAAAACUGCAAAGCUAGGGAGUGGGAGAGGUAGACGGUACUCGGUAGGAAGGGGUAAAAUCCUUUGAUCUAUCGAUGACCACCAGUGGCGAAGGCGGUCUACCAGAACACGUUCGACGGUGAGGGAUGAAAGCUGGGGGAGCAAACCGGAUUAGAUACCCGGGUAGUCCCAGCUGUAAACGAUGCAGACUCGGUGAUGCCCUGGCUUGUGGCCAGUGCAGUGCCGCAGGGAAGCCGUUAAGUUUGCCGCCUGGGAAGUACGUACGCAAGUAUGAAACUCAAAUGAAUUGAC